UUCCGAGCCCGUCUACUGUUUCUCUCCUUCACUCCUCCCCUGAACGGCCGAACCCUCGUCCCUAUCCAUCCAUCUCUCUUCCUCUGCCCCGUGAGCCACCGUCGUGCUUCUCCUCCACGCUUGUUGUGCCCCGCCUCCAACGCCACCCACGCGUCGCCGGCGCUCGGGACGAAGCUCCACUGGCACAUCGCCUACAGCCGCCAAUGGAUUCAACCUCCAACCCCACCCCACACACGGCCAGCGUUGGAUCCGGGAACGGUGGAAGCACGAACCGGUGACUGCAGAUCCAGCACGGCUGAGACUUUGGGGAUGAAGGCCGUCGACUAGGCAAGGAUCCUCAGUGUCGAGACCGUCUUUUCUUUCCUCGAUAUUCUCUCUGUAAAUUUUUGUCCCUCGAAUUUUCUCUCUAAGUUUUCCUGGAUCUUUUUUCCCGAUCAACUCUGACACCAAUGGUGUUCAGAUCGUAUUUGUUUCUCGUUUUUUCUCGCAAAUUUUUCUUUCCUCGAAAUCUCUCUGAGGUUUCUUGGAAAUUUUUUCAUCGUCAACUCUGACACCCAAUGUUCUCUCAAAUUUUUCUUUCCUCGAAUUUUCUCUCUGAGGUUUCCUGGAUAUUUUUUGUACAACAUGAUAUUGUGGUGUUCAAAUCUUGGUUUUUUAGGCGGGGAAAAAUCUGGGCAAUUCUGAGAUUUUACAUGACUGUGAUUUGCGACAGAAAAUAAUCAAAGUGCCCGUACUGCAACAAUGGAGAAGGUUAGUGAUGGGUCAUGGACAAAGAACAACCCCGGCAAGUAUUUCUACAAGUGCAAGCAUCACUGGACUAGGAGGUGUAAAUUCUGUUAAUGGGAAGCGGUGUACAUCAAGAAGUGCUUUGUGCAAGGUGGCCUAAGCUGUUCAUCCAUGCCGACAACUUGCCCAAGAAUAAUAAGGCGCCUCUCAAUGUCCUCUCCUCAUCGUUGGGAUUCUCAGCCCAGCCGUUGUUCUGUACCCCUGCAUCAGGCUACAUGGAAUAUGCUAAUUUAGGGAUCUGUGAAGCUAAUCCCCUAGAUGUUCCCUAACUAUCUAUCCAGGAAGUUUAGUACCUGCCAUAUAUGUGUGUAACCAGGGAAUUCCUUUACCAAGAAUCUGCCGGAAAGUUCAGGCCUAUCUCCUGGACACUGUAAACAUUUUCAAAUUUGAAUCUUCAAACACA